CUUCGCUGUGCGCUCCUCCGCGGUCCCCUCGGCCCAGGCGGUCCUUCCCAUUCCUGCCGCUGUCACUUUUUCUACUGGACUAAUAAAGUUUGGGGAAGGAAUCUCCAGCGGUUGCUCCUCUUGGUGCAAUAGUUACCGAGUUUCCUUCACACGAAGUUCCAGGGCUGCCACCCUGAAGAAGUGCCGGCAGCGUCCUCCCUGGACACCACGAUGCUAUUUUUCUCCUGCCCUGCCCAGCCGGUGGAGGAGAUUCACGGUCUUCCUGUCGCGUCGGGACCCCUUGAGGUUCCACGGGGACGGGAGAAGGAGUAGCUGUCCCCUCCCCUUCAGUAGGAAGUGUAGUCCGCGCUCGAGAACCGCCAACCAACACCCGCAUCACGCUGGGUUCCUGCAAACCCGACGGAGCGCUCCUCCGAGCCUCUCUGCAGGCCCCAGGGGAGGCGGUGCGAUUCCUGCCCCGCGACGGAAGCCGCGCUGA
rnacentral:lncRNA from 1 species